ACUCCUGCGGGAGGCAGCAGUGGGGAAUUUUGGACACUGGGCGAAAGCCUGAUCCAGCCAUGCCGCGUGCAGGAUGAAGGCCUUCGGGUUGUAAACUGCUUUUGUACGGAACGAAACGGCCUUUUCUAAUAAAGAGGGCUAAUGACGGUACCGUAAGAAUAAGCACCGGCUAACUACGUGCCAGCAGCCGCGGUAAUACGUAGGGUGCAAGCGUUAAUCGGAAUUACUGGGCGUAAAGCGUGCGCAGGCGGUUAUGUAAGACAGUUGUGAAAUCCCCGGGCUCAACCUGGGAACUGCAUCUGUGACUGCAUAGCUAGAGUACGGUAGAGGGGGAUGGAAUUCCGCGUGUAGCAGUGAAAUGCGUAGAUAUGCGGAGGAACACCGAUGGCGAAGGCAAUCCCCUGGACCUGUACUGACGCUCAUGCACGAAAGCGUGGGGAGCAAACAGGAUUAGAAACCCUGGUAGUCCC
rnacentral:rRNA from 1 species